rnacentral:rRNA from 1 species
UGGGGAAUAUUGGACAAUGGGGGCAACCCUGAUCCAGCCAUGCCGCGUGAGUGAAGAAGGCCUUAGGGUUGUAAAGCUCUUUCAGUCGUGACGAUGAUGACGGUAGCGACAGAAGAAGCCCCGGCUAACUCCGUGCCAGCAGCCGCGGUAAUACGGAGGGGGCAAGCGUUGUUCGGGUUUAUUGGGUUUAAAGGGUGCGUAGGCGGUUAUUUAAGUCAGUGGUGAAAACCCUGAGCUCAACUGAGGGCUUGCCAUUGAUACUGGGUAACUUGAUUACCGUAUAGGUAGGCGGAAUUUAUGGUGUAGCGGUGAAAUGCAUAGAUACCAUAAAGAACACCGAUAGCGAAGGCAGCUUACUGGACGGCGAAUGACGCUGAUGCACGAAAGCGUGGGUAGCGAACGGGAUUAGAUACCCCUGUAGUCC